UCCGGUUUGUCACCGGCAGUCUUGUAUGAGUCCCCAACUAAAUGCUGGCAACAUACAACGGGGGUUGCGCUCGUUGCGGGACUUAACCCAACAUCUCACGGCACGAGCUGACGACAGCCAUGCAGCACCUGUCACCGGUCCAGCCGAACUGAAGGGAUCCAUCUCUGGAACCCGCGACCGGGAUGUCAAAAGCUGGUAAGGUUCUGCGCGUUGCUUCGAAUUAAACCACAUGCUCCACCGCUUGUGCAGGCCCCCGUCAAUUCCUUUGAGUUUUAAUCUUGCGACCGUACUCCCCAGGCGGAUAACUUAAUGCGUUAGCUGCGCCACCCAAGCACCAAGCGCCCGGACAGCUAGUUAUCAUCGUUUACGGCGUGGACUAC
rnacentral:misc_RNA from 1 species